rnacentral:rRNA from 1 species
AUUGAACGCUGGCGGCAGGCCUAACACAUGCAAGUCGAGCGAGCGGCGGACGGGUGAGUAAUGUCUGGGAAACUGCCUGAUGGAGGGGGAUAACUACUGGAAACGGUAUCUAAUACCCCAUACCAUCAGAUCUGCCCAGGUGGGAUUAGCUAGUAGGGGGGGUAACGGCUCACCUAGGCGACGAUCCCUAGCUGGUUUGAGAGGAUGACCAGCAACACUGGAACUGGGAAACGGUCCAGACUCCUACGGGAGGAAGCAGUGGGGAAUAUUGCACAAUGGGCGCAAGCCUGAUGCAGCCAGGCCGCGUGUGUGAAGAAGGCCUUCGGGUUGUAAAGCACUGUCAGCGGGGAGGCGUUACCCGCAGAAGAAGCACCGGCUAACUCCGUGCCAGCAGCCGCGGUAAUAC